rnacentral:rRNA from 1 species
UACGAGGGGUGCAAGUGUUAUUCAGAAUCAUUGGGCGUAAAACGCAUGUAGGCUGUUGAUAAAGUUCAAAUUUAAAUGUUUUGGGAGACCAGAAACGCGUUUGAAAACUGAUCGGCUAGAGUCUCUCAGAGAAUAGUGGAAUUUCUAGUGGAGAGGUUAAAUUCAUAGAUCCUAGAAAGAACGCCAAUGGCCGAGGCAGCUAUUUAGGUGAUGACUGACGCUGAUGUGCGAAAGCGUGGGGAGCAAACAGG